UGGGGAGUAUUGGGACAAUGGGCGCAAGCCUGAUCCAGCCAUGCCGCGUGAGUGAUGAAGGCCCUAGGGUUGUAAAGCUCUUUCAGCGAGGAGGAUAAUGACGUUACUCGCAGAAGAAGCCCCGGCUAACUUCGUGCCAGCAGCCGCGGUAAUACGAAGGGGGCUAGCGUUGUUCGGAAUCACUGGGCGUAAAGCGCACGUAGGCGGACUUUUAAGUCAGGGGUGAAAUCCCGGGGCUCAACCUCGGAACUGCCUUUGAUACUGGAAGUCUGGAGUCCGAGAGAGGUGAGUGGAACUCCGAGUGUAGAGGUGAAAUUCGUAGAUAUUCGGAAGAACACCAGUGGCGAAGGCGGCUCACUGGCUCGGUACUGACGCUGAGGUGCGAAAGCGUGGUGAGCAAACAGGAUUAGAUACCCUGGUAGUCCACGCCGUAAACGAUGGAAGCUAGCCGUCAGGGUGCAUGCAUCUUGGUGGCGCAGUUAACGCAUUAAGCUUCCCGCCUGGGGAGUACGGUCGCAAGAUUAAAACUCAAAUGAAUUGAC
rnacentral:rRNA from 1 species